rnacentral:rRNA from 1 species
UACGUAGGUGACAAGCGUUGUCCGGAUUUACUGGGCGUAAAGAGCGCGCAGGCGGUCGUUCAAGUCGAGUGUGAAAGCCCCCGGCUCAACUGGGGAGGGUCAUUCGAUACUGAUCGACUCGAAGGCAGGAGAGGGUAGUGGAAUUCCCGGUGUAGUGGUGAAAUGCGUAGAUAUCGGGAGGAACACCAGUGGCGAAGGCGACUACCUGCCUGUUCUUGACGCUGA